rnacentral:rRNA from 1 species
CCGGGGAGGCCUUGCGCCCCCGGGCCCGCGCCCGCCGAAGACCCCAACAUGAACGCUGUUCUGAAAGUAUGCAGUCUGAGUUGAUUAUCGUAAUCAGUUAAAACUUUCAACAACGGAUCUCUUGGUUCCGGCAUCGAUGAAGAACGCAGCGAAAUGCGAUAAGUAAUGUGAAUUGCAGAAUUCAGUGAAUCAUCGAGUCUUUGAACGCACAUUGCGCCCCCUGGUAUUCCGGGGGGCAUGCCUGUCCGAGCGUCAUUGCUGCCCUCAAGCACGGCUUGUGUGUUGGGCCCCCGUCCCCCUCUCCCGGGGGACGGGCCCGAAAGGCAGCGGCGGCACCGCGUCCGGUCCUCGAGCGUAUGGGGCUUUGUCACCUGCUCUGUAGGCCCGGCCGGCGCCAGCCGACACCCAACUUUAUUUUUCUAAGGUUGACCUCGGAUCANGUAGGGAUACCCGCUGAACUUAA